rnacentral:rRNA from 1 species
UGGAGAGUUUGAUCCUGGCUCAGGACGAACGCUGGCGGCGUGCUUAACACAUGCAAGUCGAGCGGUAAGGCCCUUCGGGGUACACGAGCGGCGAACGGGUGAGUAACACGUGGGUGAUCUGCCCUGUACUUCGGGAUAAGCCUGGGAAACUGGGUCUAAUACCGGAUAUGACCUUACAUCGCAUGGUGUUUGGUGGAAAGAUUUAUCGGUACAGGAUGGGCCCGCGGCCUAUCAGCUUGUUGGUGGGGUAAUGGCCUACCAAGGCGACGACGGGUAGCCGGCCUGAGAGGGCGACCGGCCACACUGGGACUGAGACACGGCCCAGACUCCUACGGGAGGCAGCAGUGGGGAAUAUUGCACAAUGGGCGAAAGCCUGAUGCAGCGACGCCGCGUGAGGGAUGACGGCCUUCGGGUUGUAAACCUCUUUCGACAGGGACGAAGCGCAAGUGACGGUACCUGUAGAAGAAGCACCGGCCAACUACGUGCCAGCAGCCGCGGUA